UAAAAGAAAUGAAACAAAGAAAAGCAAUGGC
rnacentral:piRNA from 1 species